UCCCUCUCCACCGGCAACCAGACCUGUCUCGCCAAGAUCCUCGGCAUCUACCGGGUAUGUCCGGCGGCGCCGCCUCCUCCGCCGCCUGCUGCGUCUGCUUUCGUCUUCCUCUCUGAUUCAUCCCUCCUCCUCUGCGCAGGUGAAGCAGGUUAAGAAUGGCAAGGAGCUAAAGAUUGAUCUGAUGGUCAUGGAGAACCUCCUCUACGGCAGGGAGAUCUCCCGAGUGUACGACCUCAAGGGCGCUGUCUUCUCCCGGUACGUCUCCGACGCCUCCAAGCCCAACGCGGUCCUCCUGGACCAGAACUUCGUCGAGGACAUGGGCUCCUCCCCCCUGUUCCUCGCCGGGAAGACCAAGCACCUCUUCCAGCGGGCCAUCUGGAACGACACCUCCUUCCUCACUGUGAGCAUCCAUUCCCUUCUCUCUCUCUCUCUCUCUCUCUCUCUCUCUCACCUCUCUCUCAUCU
rnacentral:lncRNA from 1 species